UGUUUGGCAACUCUAUGAUUAUUAAACUAAUAAUAAUAAAUAAUUUUUAAACUUGGCAGCACUGAUAUCUGCAAAAACAAUUGAUGCACCACUGCUCUUUAUUCCAUUUGUCCGUUAUUAAACAAGUCACUACAUCUAUUGAAUAUGGAUACAGAUGAAGAUGAAAUCUUUGAUAAUUUGCAAUAUGCGAAAAUAUAUCCAAUAUGUCUGCAGAACCAACACCAACGCCAGAUAAAAAGAGAAAGCGUUUUCAAGUUACAACGGCAUGGUCCUCGGAAGAUGUUUUUAAUUAAAUAGAAAUAAUAGAAAAACAUCCUUGUCUGUGGGAAUAUUCUUCAUCAGACUAUAAAAACCGACAGAAGAGAGAGAACGCAUGGAGAGAAGUUGCAGCGAACUGUCAUGGCCGUAGCGUUGAUGAGUGCAAAGCCAAGUGGGCGAAUGUGAAAACAGCGUACAAUAAUACAAAAAACAAAUUACAGGCAAAGUCUGGUCAGAGUGCGUCAAGUUCACAACCUCAUUGGCAAUUUUGGACUGCAAUGCAGUUUUAUCAUAACCACGACAAAAAAAAAAACGACUUCAUCUGUUUCAAAUAUAAGCCCUGAUAGUGAAAGUUUACCAAACACGCAUUUUCAAUCCAUCAACAUGCAAUCCAACGCAUCAACAUCAUCGCCAGCUGAUGCAGCAACCAAUUCGCCAGAAGAUAUUUUAAAACGCGCAACAGAUUUGUUGUAUGCAGAAAAAGAAGACAAGUGGUAUUCCUUCGGCAUGUACAUAGCGUCGCAAAUGCGUGAACUGAAUGCAAAAAAUGAGAAAGCAGCAAAAAAACUUGAAAUUAAUAUUAUGAAGUGCACUAUAGAUGCGCUUUCAGAAUUAAAUGAUGAUUGAUAUUUCAUUGAAUUGUUUUUUCUUCUAUAUUAAUAAAGUUACAGACAUAUUUAAA